AUUGAACGCUGGCGGCAGGCCUAACACAUGCAAGUCGUACGAGUGGCGGACGGGUGAGUAAUGCCUGGGAAACGGGCUGAUGGAGGGGGAUAACUACGGGAAACUGUAGCUAAUACCGCAUCACAUAAGAUGCGCCCAAGUGGGAGUAGUUAGUUGGUGGGGUAAAGGCGCACCAAGCCGACGAUCUAUAGCUGGUCUGAGAGGAUGACCAGCAACACUGGGACUGAUGAACGUCCCAGACCCGUACGGGAGUCAGCAGUGGGGAAUAUUGCCAAGUGGGGGCAAGCUUGAUGCAGCCAUGCCGCGUGUAUGAAGAGGGCCUUCGGGUUGUAAAGUGCUUUCGGUGGCGAGGCGUUACCCACAGAAUAAUCACCGGCUGACUCCGUGCCAGCAGCCGCGGUAAUAC
rnacentral:rRNA from 1 species